CCAUUACUGGGCAAGCAGGCAUCAUGCAUACUGACUCUUAAUCAGUGGGUUCCCGGUUCAAGUCCGGGGGGGCGCACCA
rnacentral:tRNA from 1 species